UUCGGGAGCUUGUACAGGUGCUGCAUGGCUGUCGUCAGCUCGUGUCGUGAGAUGUUCGGUUAAGUCCGCUAACGAGCGCAACCCUCGCUGUGUGUUACAAGUGUCACACGGAACUGCCGGUCAUAAACCGGAGGAAGGUGGGGAUGACGUCAAGUCAGCAUGGCCUUUAUAUCCUGGGCUACACACACGCUACAAUGGGAAGGGACAAUAGGUUGCCAAGCCGCGAGGCGGAGCCAAUCCUCUAAAGCUGUCCUCAGUUCAGAUUGCAGGCUGCAACUCGCCUGCAUGAAGUUGGAGUUGCUAGUAACCGCAGGUCAGCUAUACUGCGGUGAAUACGUUCCCGGGGAUU
rnacentral:rRNA from 1 species